GAACCGCAUGGUUCAAUAGUGAAAGACGGUUUUGCUGUCACUUAUAGAUGGAUCCGCGCCGCAUUAGCUAGUUGGUAAGGUAACAGCUUACCAAGGCAACGAUGCGUAGCCGACCUGAGAGGGUGAUCGGCCACACUGGAACUGAGACACGGUCCAGACUCCUACGGGAGGCAGCAGUAGGGAAUCUUCCGCAAUGGGCGAAAGCCUGACGGAGCAACGCCGCGUGAGUGAUGAAGGUCUUCGGAUCGUAAAACUCUGUUAUUAGGGAAGAACAAAUGUGUGAGUAACUAUGCACGUCUUGACGGUACCUAAUCAGAAAGCCACGGCUAACUACGUGCCAGCAGCCGCGGUAAUACGUAGGUGGCAAGCGUUAUCCGGAAUUAUUGGGCGUAAAGCGCGCGUAGGCGGUUUUUUAAGUCUGAUGUGAAAGCCCACGGCUCAACCGUGGAGGGUCAUUGGAAACUGGAAAACUUGAGUGCAGAAGAGGAAAGUGGAAUUCCAUGUGUAGCGGUGAAAUGCGCAGAGAUAUGGAGGAACACCAGUGGCGAA
rnacentral:rRNA from 1 species